rnacentral:rRNA from 1 species
AUUGAACGCUGGCGGCAGGCUUAACACAUGCAAGUCGAACGAGUGGCGGACGGGUGAGUAAUGCCUGGGAAUCUAGCUUAUGGAGGGGGAUAACUACGGGAAACUGCAGCUAAUACCGCGUACCAUAGGAUGAGCCCAAGUGGGAUUAGGUAGUUGGCGAGGUAAAGGCACACCAAGCCGACGAUCUGUAGCUGGUCUGAGAGGAUGACCAGCAAAAAUGGGAAUGAGAAACGGCCCGGACUCCGACGGGAGGCAGAAGUGGGGAAUAUUGCACAAUGGGGGCAACCUGACGCAGCCAGGCCGCGUGAAUGAAGAAGGCCUUCGGGUUGUAAAGUGCGUUCGGUAGCGAGGCGUUAACUACAGAAGAAGCACCGGCUAACUCCGGGACAGCAGCCGCGGUAAUUC